rnacentral:sRNA from 1 species
GCCGGGCAUAGUGGCACACACCUGUAAUCCCAGGGGCUCAGGAGGCUGAGGCAGGAGGAUCACUAGUUCAAAGCCAGCCUCAGCAAGAGAGAGGCGCUAAGCAACUCAGUGAGACCUUGUCUCUA